rnacentral:tRNA from 1 species
GGUUUAAUGGCCGAGUUCAGGCACUAGAUUGUAAAUCUAAUUACGGGACUUAUGUUCCUUAAGCCA